CCUACGGGUGGCAGCAGUGGGGGAUAUUGCACAAUGGGGGAAACCCUGAUGCAGCGACGCCGCGUGAGUGAAGAAGUAUUUCGGUAUGUAAAGCUCUAUCAGCAGGGAAGAAAAAAGACGUUACCUGACUACGACGCACCGGCUACUUAGGGGCCAGCAGCGGGGGGAUUCCGUAGGGGGCAAGCGUGCUCCGGAUUUACUGGGUGUAAAGGGAGCGUAGACGGCGAGGCAAGUCUGGAGUGAAAGGCAGGGGCUUAACCCCUGAACUGCUUUGGAAACUGCCAUACGAGAGUGCGGGAGAGGUAAGUGGAAUUCCUAGUGUAGCGGUGAAAUGCGUAGAUAUUAGGAGGAACACCAGUGGCGAAGGCGGCUUACUGGACAGUAACUGACGUUGAGGCUCGAAAGCGUGGGGAGCAAACAGGAUUAGAUACCCCAGUAGUC
rnacentral:rRNA from 1 species